rnacentral:lncRNA from 1 species
UAUGAAGUAGACCUGAAUAACUCUUCGAGAUUUAUGCGGUAACAGGCAACAACUGAACUGAAAAUUUGAACAACUGAAUUAAAACUAAAAGAUCUUAUUGUGUACCUAUAAUAUACUAUUCAUAAACAUAUUGUAAGUGAUUGUUGCUUGAUUUGCAAAGAUAUACAAUUUUUUUCUAGCACAAUGAUUACUCAAUAAUGUUGCAAUUUGUCAUUCACAUGCCAGCUCACGCUUCAAUAAGUUGAACCCUCCACUGCUAUCAAUCUCAAAACAGAAACUCGCAAUUACUUUAUUAACAUAAUCGGUUUUCAUCUGAUCCGAGAAGGUUGCUUUGAAGGAGAGAGCUUACGAAAUGCAGCAUGCAAAAUCAUAACUACAAAGCAGUAGACUAAUUGUUAGCGCAGCAUGCAAAAUCAUAACUACAAAGCAGUAGACUAAUUGUUAGCUCACUCUAAGCAACGGCAACAUUCAUAAAAGAUGAAGAAGAGUUUCUAAUAUUUACCAAUAUAACUGAUAGCAAGUGCACAGAAUAGAGCCAUCUGAACAUUCAGAAGCAUAAGAACAACCAACGUAGCUGCAAAGAUGAGAUGUGAUUACUACUGUGAAGUCGAGGAAAGAAUUCCAUUAUUUAUCAACAGCUAGACAGUAGUCUAAUGGAAAGACUUGUUAAGGAAAGUUUAAAGCAAAACCCAUCCAGAGAAGGCAAGAACAAAAGUAUAGAAGCAAAAGUGCACACAUUCAUAUUUAGGGGUAACAAGAAAUGUAUCAUAAAUCACUUGCUCUAGUACAGUACUAUUUCAUGCUAAUUUUCUUGCUCGUUCUAUGGUUAGGACCCUUUGAGCGGAAAGAAAUCAAAUCACAAUGCUUAUUCUAGCUAGAAACUCCUGAAGUCCAUGCUUGAACCCUGUGUCAAUUGGUCAUAGACUCCAUAUUCUCCCAAAAGUAUGACAUUUUUUUCUUCCAGAGUGAUUAAUGGAACUUAAAACUGUUUUGCCACAGUCUUAGUAUCUUCCAGAGUGAUUAAUGGAACUUAAAACUGUUUUGCCACAGUCUUAGUUAUACGAACCCUUGCUCUUUAUAUUACUUCUUAAGGUCAUCAGACCCAAACCAGAACAUGUUUACUUCCUAGGAGAAAUCUUAAAUAUCUUAAUCAAUACGGAACUGUGUAGUUCAGACAGCAUUCCCUUGGCCAACUAGACGUAAUGAUUUGCAAUGUCCUAGUAGGUCUAUGAGCGGAACUAACAGUGCUCUUCCAAUAUGGAAAAACAAUCGUCAAAAACAAUUUUUUUACCCCAUCAACCACAUACAGUAUAAGACUGUGGCAGGUUAUCUUAAUAUCGGCUGCCAUUUUGAUUCAAAGAAGAAAUAUUUGAGAACUCACCACAUUGUGCAAUGCGAACCAGAACCUGCCUAAUCACAGGAUACCGAUCCCAGUUCCAUUUGUCACUACAGAACUUGAAAAAAUCCCAAAGUGCCAAACUUGAUAUCAACCCAACAAGAGCAAGCGGCAUCUGGUAUCUACAAGACGGAGACAGAGACAAUGUCACUAGAUAGAUAAUACACAAAAAAAAACUUGUAAUACAACUAACACACACUAUACUAUGAUUAAAAAAAAAUCUCCAUCAGUUAAAAACUAAACAAUGGAAAGGUGAGACUCUAUGAACUAAUGCCCUGAACCAGCACAAAUACCAAUUCUCCUGGAGUAUUUUAAGUAUUCAUAUAGUUGUUUCAAAGCACAGGAAAAAAAAAAAAAAAAACCAACGCAAAAUUGCAAAUUCAUAGUGUUGUUAUUUAUCAAUUGGAACCCAGAAAAAAAUAAUCUGUAACUUAAUUAUUCAUUUAAGCAGAUUGAAACCCUUGCAAACACAGGUAAGCAAAUCAAAAUUAUCAUUAAAAAUCCAAUCAAGGCCACAUAAAUCUAAUCACAUCCAAAAGCAUCCCAAAAUCUCGUUCAAUAUUCAUACAACCACAUACAAAAACCAUUCAAAAAUUUAAUUUUUUUUAACUCAAAAUAAUAACUCAGAAAAGGAAACAAAAUUCUUACAGAGAGCAAGCAAAGAAGAGGAUGAACAAAGAAGCAUAAUUCCUGGCAUAACGUUUAACAUUCUCAUGAACUCUCAACUUAAGGGUGUGUGGGGAAGAGGGAAACGAGUAAGACCCAAGAGCCCCAAUAAACUCACGGGUCCAAGAUGGGGUCUUGGCUGAGAAAUCAUCAGUGGUGAGUUUAGCAAAAGGGUUGACGGUGAGAAGAGAGAUAAAGGUGUAUAAAUAAUGUAAAAGGCUGUGAGUUAUGGUCGUGGCUGUGGCUGUUUCUUUGGUGGAGGCUGUUGUGACGGCGGUGGCCGACGUGGUGGUGGCGGUGUCGAGGAUUUCGAGGUAGCCUGAGUCACGAAGCCAUGACUCGAAUGCUGGGUCGGGUACGUUUAGAGAUAACGGGUUGGAUGCGAAUACCUUCCCCAUUACAAAAAAGCUAUCCAAUCUCUGUUGAAUGAGAGUAAAUAAAUGUAAUUAAUUUAAUAUGCUCAAGGGUUUUUAGUAUUUUAAAGACCCUACAAAAUAUAACUUAAUUUUUUUAAAUUUAAUAAAUGAGUGUGUAGAACAAUAAAGUAUUUAAAGUAAUUAUUAGGUGAUAUUUGGUUGGGAGGAGAGAAUGAGAGAUAAGAAAUUAAUUCAAAAUUUAUUUUUAUUUUUAUUGUUUGAUUGCACAAAAUAUAUAAGAAUUUAAUUUUUAUUAAAAUUUAAUAUCCUUUAUAAUGUAGAAUUUAAAUUCCACACCAAAGAGUGAAGAAUUCAAAUUUCUCUUAUGUUGAAAACCCAAGCUUCUAAAUUUACCCUCCAAUAUUUUAACUUGUUUAAUGCUAUUAAUAAUUAUUAUUUAUGAUUUUAUUUUAUUAAUUUAAUAUUAUAAAUAAUUUUAUAUUAAUUAAAUUUAAUGAAUGAUUUAAGAAAUUUAAUAAAAUAAAUAAACUUAUUUAUUUAUUUAAUAUAAAAAUAUAUAAAUAUAAAUUAACUUUACCGGACCGUCGCUGGACCCUUUGACAUCGCCGGAAGCCGCCGAAAUUUCGUUGGAAAGUCACCGGCCACCGCUGACCGGUGUUGACUUUCGUUGACCGAUGUUGACUUUAUUGACCGACGUUGACUUAUAUUGACCGCUACUGUUGACCGGCUUUUAUUUAAAUUAAAUUAUAUUUAAUAUUAAAUAGUUUAGUAUAUUAAAUUAUUUUAUAUUUUAUAUUAAAUAUAAAUCAUGAAUUGUUUUAGAACUUUUUGAAAUUAAAACGAUUUAGUAUUAAUAUCAAAUUAUAUUUUAUUACUAAUAUAGAUAAUUUAAUAUUUAAGAUAAAUGAUAAAUUUGUCUAAAGAAAAAAAUUAUAAUUCUUUUUCUUAUCAAAUUUUAUAUCAAACCAAAUAAUAAAAUUUAAUUUCACUAUUCUCAUCGACUCAUUUCUUUUCAUUUCCCUUCCAUUCCACUCUUUUCUUCUCCUCCCAUUUCUUAAAACCAAACACCACCGUAGAGCCUGUAAUGCUUUAGCUGAUUCAUUAGCUAAAUUAACUUUAAGUUUUGAAAGACCUGCUCUGUGGCUGGAAAAUUUUCCAGACAAUGUUUUGCUGUUGUUUUCAAUGUCAGUUUGGAAAGCUUUACUUUCCCUUCAAAAAAAAAAAAAAAAACACCACCUUAGAGGAUAAAUAGGCAUAUCCAAUACUUUAACUUAUGGUUGGUUGUUUUUUUCACUGAUUUUUUUUUAUUUGAAUUGAAUUAAUUACUAGUUGUGACUCGAGCUCAAGAGAGUCGAAGAGAGAGAAAAAGAAAAAUGGAGUGCUUCUCUUGUCCAUUUUAAGUGAAAAUAUUUAGGUUGGGUACCAAAGGGCAGUUUAAUCUUUUAUACUGCAUGGCAGCUUUUUACUCAAAUAUCAAAUGAGCUUGUUCUUCACGUGACGCUAAUUUUAUCAAACUUUAUUUUUUUCCUUGAUUAGCUCGUGUAGGACAGUUGAGGUGGCAACUUCUUAUUUAUUAUUCUUAUACCACAUGUUAGCUUUCAACUAGUCCAUAAAUAUCCUUCAAAAUUUACCUCCAACAAAUCUAAUAACCUCUUGAAAACGAAAAAUUAAAAAUUUAUUCAAUCAUUCAAUGUUAAGGAAAUUGACCAAGUAAUGGAAUGCUAACAAACCAAAUUAAAUUUCUACACUUACUCUUUUUCUUUGGCCUAUACCAAAUUUCAUCACCUAAUUUUACUUUAAUUAAAUAAAACAAAUACAUUAUAACUGCUUACUAUUUACAUCUGAAUAGAGCAAUGAAGACUGGUUAUUAAAGACCGGUUAUUAAACGGAUAUGGAUGAAAAUGGUGUUAAAAGACUGGUUAUGAAAAAUCUUUUAACAUAUAUCUUGUGUUUAAGAAACUUUUAGUUCACAACCAUGGCAUAUGGUAGCAAUGAAAAGGCUCUUGCAGGAUAUAUUCAAGCAAAUUGGUUUGGGUAACCACAAACAAAAGAGCCUUGCAAGUGACAAAGUUCCUCCUUUGCCCACUCAAAUGCAUUACAUAAUGUCGCAGUACAUUUUAUUCAUGCAAAUACGUAUAUAUAUGCAUAUCUUGAUAACUAUUUUAACAUGUGAUCUAAUAUAGAACAUAAUUUAAUAGAGUAUACUCCUUGAAUUUCGCUCUGAAUUUUUUUUAUAAUUGAUUUGUUAUAAAUUUGAACGAGGGAUUGCAAUUAUACCUUCUUGAAGUUUAUAGAUGUUUUCAUGAAUGCUCCACGAAAAAUAUUUGAUGUCGUGCUAAUGCUCACUGCAAAGCAUAUACCGUAGGCUAUAGCUAUAUAAAAACUUAUACUUGCUUUCUCGAAUGCACACACUUGCGCACAAAAUUUUACUAGACGGUUUCAAUUUAUUGAACCAUUAGAGGGACACAUCAGUAGUCACCAAAAUGCCACUCUAAAUGGCAAUUCUCGUAAUCAUUUUGCUGCCGCUCUUCAUUCCAGUCCCAAGUACACAGCCCAAACUUCAAUUUUCUCUGGGAAGGUAAUGAAGCGUGGCUCAGUCUCAGUAAUAUGUCUUCCAUAUUCCAUGGAAUGAGCCAAAGGAGUAAUACUUCUAUAGUUAGAAGCAACUAGCAAUCAUAUUGAAGGAAUUUUCUGUAUCAGAUAAAGAAAGAGCAGCAGAGAACAAAGCUGUUAAUCAAUCAACACAUGUACAGCAGUAUUAGUAUUUCUGCCUUAUUGUAGUGCCUAAUUGGGUAUUAGGAUUUCUCCACAAGAACGUUUACUAAGACAUUCAGCCAAGUAUGAAGUUCAUCAAUAAUCAAUCUUUUCGGCAAAUAAACGAAACAUAUUGAGUGCCAAACUUGCCCAGCCUUUGAAACAGGAUUUCAGAGCAAGCAAGAGAACAAAGACAGAAAAUACAUUCAACUGAAUCCAACACUAGAAAAUAUCACAAAUAUUAUUUAUUUUUUUGUACACAAUUAACGAACCGUGGCUGAAGCACAAAUCAAUGAACUCUCAACUGAAAAUCCGAAACCAAACUUCUUAUUUAUGAAUAGACAGCGGAAACAAAGAAACCAAAAAAAGUCCACCGUAGGAUCAGGACUUAUUUGUGUAGACAGCAAAAGUGAAGACGGAAAGGAUUCUGGUUGAAAUUGAAGCUCAGGCUGCAGUCAUGAUGUUUUCUGCUCUGAUUUCACCUACACAAGUCAUUGAAGAAAUUGUGAAAAAUAAGAAUUCUAAAUUACAUUUUUUUUUCUUAACUACUAAAACAAAUGAACACCGAUGUAUUGAAGAGGGCUUGAUGAUUGGGGUGAGCAUCGGAAACUCUAAAGGGUACUUAAUGUUGAGACAAUUAGAAGAAAACAAUUUGUAUAACCAUUUUUGUAUUGAAGAGAAGGGGAAAAAAGUAUAUGAAAUUGGAUAAAUAAUUAAAAUUUGAAGAAAUUGGGUAAAACGAGAAACAUACAUCAAAUUCAAUAGGGGCUAAUCAAAUUCCGUAAGGAUAUAGUUGAAUGCCGCACUGUUCCUUAUCCUCAAAUUCCCGUAGCUUUUGUCUCAGCUCUGGCUGAGGCCACCAGCAAUCGAACUUGUUUAAGCUCUUUAUGCACCAGAGCUGUUCAGGCAUCUUUUUCAAGUAAGCACAAGGGUUGAUAAUCAAGCAUUCUAGUUUUGGCAUGGCUGCAUUCCCCAUAGUCCACUCCUCUAGCCAUAGCAUUGAUUUCAGGUGCAACACCUUGAGGUUCGGAAAACCAUAAGAGCCACAAGUCAGCUUUCUACCUGAAUACGAGUUUUGCUUCAGUUUGAGCACUUGAAGAAGCGGCAGCUUUUCUAGUGUCGGCAUGGGAUCGUCCAUUAGGUCAGUAUUAGAAAAACUCAAGUGGGUUAGACUAUGAGGAAAUAGGUAUUCAGCAAGGAUGAUUUUGGAGAGCCGUGGCAUCUUGCUUUCGUUCACCAACUUCAAUGACCCGAGGCAGCUCAAUCUGCAAAUACUUUUGGACAACAAAGAUUGAUUAUAACUUAAAUCUCCCAAUAUGCAGAGAUUUCGAAGACUAGGCAGUCUGCCCAAUAUGUCUUCAGUACAGCAGCAAGGAUGCAAGGCCGAAAUGAAAUUUAGAUUUUCCAGAGAGCCACAAUAUUUUCCUGGAUGCGCAGGAAGUGUGAUUGACCCAAAAUUUAGAUGCCUGAGAUUGUUCAUCUUCCAAAAUUCAUCUGCCGUAUGAUCUAUGUAGCUAAAGGGCAUGUCUAGGGUGUAGAGGUUUAGAAGAUUGCUUAAUAAUGAUGAAGGCAGGCUUUUGAGGGAAGGGAUAUUCAACUUCAAAUAUCUCAAAAGAAAUAAAUUUUCAAUUCCGGAUGGAUAUUGGAUGAGAACAAGAGAUCCCAAAUCCAAUACUCUGAGAAGUUUGAACAUUCCACAAAAUUUCUCCCAAUCUAUGGGGUCAAAGUGGCGGGUUUCUGGAGAGAAGCACAAGAAAGAAUGCAGUUGCGAGUUGUAAUCAUCUAAGCAAGCAAAAUCACCCUCUCUUUCAACAGCGUUUAACCGUUUGGCUUUUUUUCCUGAUUCUCUAUGGAUAGAAGGGGAAAAGAUGAAUUCCACCUCAGGAGGAACUAAGAGCAACACGGGACGCCAACGGCCAGGAAUAGAGCAUGUGUUGAUAGUGCCUCCGGCUUUUCUCUUCUUUGCUUCAACAAAGCCUCCCUUGAUUAGUUGUUCUAAGUAACUCUCAGCAGUUGCCUCACUAUUGUCUGGAAUGAAACCUUCAGCUAUCCACAACUGAUAUAACUGCCUGGUGGAUAUCUCUAGGUGUGCGGCAAACACAGAUAAGUAGAGGAAACAAAGUUUCAAGCAAAAAGGUAAACUGCAACAUUUGAAGUACCGACGCGCAAAGGGUCGGCUGGUUGCUUCCGUUUUAUUUUCUUUUAAUGAGAUGCUUCCAUGAUAUAAGAUGGGGAAAGGCCAUCCUUUAUAUGUAGCUCUCAAUGGUCCUCCAGUGGGCACAAAAUCAAGCCCAAUGUUCUCUCCGUCUUCGAACUGAAAUGAGGUGACAAUCUCAAUUCGGCUGAGUGUGAUUAAUACUCUACUUCCAUUCUGAUUAUCCGGAAGUAUUUCUCGAAUAACAUCCCACAUAUCAAUUCUCCAUACAUCAUCAAUCACAAUCAAAUACCGCUUGGUCAUCAGAUAUUCAUGAAGAAUAACUUUUUUCAUUUCAUAAUUUUUAUCCAUUAUUUCACUCAACCUAGAUGAAGGCAUCAGACACUUAAUAACGAUAUCUAAUAUUUGGUCAGCAUCAUAUUCAUUUCUGUAAGGCUCUGAAAUCCAAGCGUGACAAUCAAAAUAAUGCUUCACAUAACUGCUGUUGUAAGCCUCUCCGGCGAAAGCCGUUUUGUCCAACCCAAUGCUAUCAAGUAUGGCCACCACUGAAUGCUGAGUUGGUCCCUCGAUCAAUAGAUCUAACAACUCCUCCAUUCUAUCAUCUAGGCCCACCGUGUUCCAAUUCUUAGAAGAUGAAGAUAUACCGGCUUCAGCUUCCAGAUUUUUGAAGGCAUCAAAGAUUUCGGAAUCGAUGUGCGGAACUUGUUGAGUCCGUUGUUUUAUAUCAAUGAUUCUGCUUUGGAGUCCUUGGAGAGCAUAAAAAAUGUCCUGGCUGCAGCUGCUUUGACUCUUCUGUUCACUAAUGCUGUUGAUGAAUGUGUCAAUGACCUUCUCAGAUUCAUACGUAAAGCAAUUGAUUUCGUCCAUAACGGUCGCCAGAUCUGGGUUUUCAAUUUCUCCGUGUCCUAUCUUUUCCCGCAGAAGGCAGGACGUUUCACAUUCAAAUUCACUUAGCCAAGAAGUAACGAUUUCAAUCUCGGCAUGAAGGUUCUGAACAGGUUGUUUUGCAGCAUCAGGCAACUUGACUUCUUCACCAGCUAACACCCUUCGCAGCCUCUCGGAAAAUAGUCUGAACUUGAUGUCCAUAUCUCCUCCUCUCUCUGAGUCACCCCGAAAUCAGUCCUGUAGCAUGCAAAGAAAUAAUUAAAAGAGAGAGGGGAAAAGGAAAAUAUGCUUUAAAGCUCUCAAUUCAAACAUUAGUGCUGGCUCCCGUACCUCCCUUCUCUUAGCUAGUUCUCCAGUCAAGAAGUUGAAUCAAGAUCGUUGACUCUCAAAUGAGAACAUAUCAAGGCAGAAUCUUUGUUUAAAAAAAAAAAAAAAAUCAUUGUUAAAACUUCUUAGCUCUUAAUUCAAAUAUUUAUGUGUCCGCUGAAACAUUUGUUGUUGAUGAAUGGAAUUGGUCUUAGGUUGACCGACGCAACUCUUUCUCUCAGCACUCAAGUAGUGUGAGCAUGUUAGUUUAGUCAAUAGUUUCUCCUAUACAUAAAUGAUGUUUUAUUAUAGAAUUUUGAUAAUAUGUACAAUGGGGAAGUAGCUGUAGAAAAGAGAUUGGGUUUUGGUUUAUGUGAUAUGGACUUGGAGCAUAAUAAAUUAUACAACUUGCAAUUAAAUCCAAAAUUGCAGUACUUCAUUACUUUUGUCUUCUGUGAAUAUAAAACACUGACUGUGUAAUCAUAGUACUUUUUUAAUAAGGACUAUGAUGAAAAUUAAAGACAAAUAAUGAUUUCAUGGAGUUAGUCACUGAGACACUGACUGCUAUAUCAUGAACAAGUUUUUCCGUGACUGUUUCUCGUGAAAAGGAAAUUUUUAAAAACUUUAUCAAUGCAGGUGAUGAAUAAAUAUGCUACCACUUGCAGCUAGGUUGGAGAAGAUGAGGGGAAGGUGACGCUAAUGAAUAAAUAUGCUACCACUUGCAAUUAAUAAAAUGCUAACCCUGUCUGGUAUGCUAGCUCUGUUCAUUGAAAGCAAAAGCAAUGGAAUCUUUGACCUUGCUGCCACAAGAUGAUUGUCAUGGAAGGCACCAAAGUUUCCAAGUAUGUAUGUAUAUCACACACACAUACUUGCAUGUAUGUAUAUCACAGAUAAAAUUUGUAUCCCAGGGUUAUAAAUGUGAAUUACUCACAUAAAUAUGCAUUAUUAAUCAUGUACGAUGCUCUCUUAUUUCUUCAACGAGAUUUAGAGAAAGUACUAAAUCCUUUGUAAAAUUUUAUAUUUAAUAUAUCUUCAUUUUAAAACUACAUCCAUAUCCCGCAUAAAUUUGGGGAUCAUUUUAGCAUUGUUUUUUAAGAAAUGCAAAUUGAUAAAGAGUUCUAACCGCGACAUAAGGGUGACAAAAAUAAUAGUAAAUUGUGCAAUGUUACAAUGUUAAUUCAAAAUAGUUAUAAUUUUUUAUUUAAUACGGUAAAUAAAAUUUACAGUUGUUUUGUAAUCAUUGUAUGAUUCUUUGAUUCAAAUAUCAUUAUUAUAUGAACCCUCACCUUUUUGAAAGGAUUACAUCUUAAGAAACUAUUUAUAAUUAUUUUCAUUUGAGUCAUUAGUGUUAAAAAUAUAACAAUGAAAUUAAUGAUAGUCGAAUUCCAAGUAGGAAUGACAGAAAAAUCCGGUCUAACUAGAGCAUGUUUUCUAAGUACUCUGGCUGGACUUGGACUUUGGUUUAAAAGCCCGAACCCAACCAGAAAGCCCAAAAAAUAUUGAAAAUUUUAAAAAUCUAUAUUACUUUAAUUAAAAUACAACUUUUUACAUAUAUGUAAUCCACUUAUAGCAUAUAUUUAAAGUUUUAAGUUAUUUGAACCCAACUAUUAAAGCCUAAUCUAACAAAGAAAAAACUAAAUUUUAUAAACUAUAAAAUUUGUAAAAUAUAAUGAAAAAAGUUUUUUUUUUUAAAAUACAUAAUGUAUACUUCAAGCUUUUUGGCUUGGCUUUGGAAAAAAAAAAAAAAAACCAACGUUUUGUCAUCCCAAAUUCCAAGCCUUAAAUACUUCUCCAAAUGUAUAGUACAACAUUGUAUAAUAGGACCAAUCACAUGGAGAUGAUUUGUAAAUUUUUGCACGCAAUUUUAAUAUGCACAUCAGAAGAGAGGCAGCAAUCUUAGUUGAUACUUUUAUUUGACAUAUGAUGUAAGAAAUGAAACAAAGAUUGUUGUUAACAUAAAUUAUUCUUUAUUGAUUUUGAUGAUAACAAACAUGAUUAAGAUUAAUUAAUCUUUUAAAAACUCAUCAUAAUUUUCAUCUAUUUUGACAAGUUUCAUAAAGUUUUUUUAUAAAGAUUUGGAGACAAAACAGUCAUCUUGCAAAAUAGUUCACUGCAGCAGUUUUUGUGGUAAACGGCGAUCCGACAUGUGUAAUAAACGGCUUGCCGAUUUCAAGCAGAAAUGGAGAUUAGCCUCUGGACGUAAACGGCGAUCCGACAUGAAUAAUAAACGGCUCGCCGAUUUCAAGCAGAAAUGGAGAUUAGCCUCUGGACGUAAACGGCGAUCCGACAUGUGUAAUAAACGGCUCACCGAUUUCAAGUAGAAAUGGAGAUUAGCCUCUGGACGUAAACGGCGAACCGACAUGUGUGAUAAACGGCUCGCCGAUAUCAACCAGUAGCCUCUGGACCUAAACGGCGAUCCGACAUAUAGGUAACGGCGAUCCGACAAUUUGAAAAAUCAGCCCAACGGUCAUAUUGACCAGUCAAACGGCGAUCCGACAUCUAGCUAACGGCGAUCCGACAGUGUACAGAAAGUCAAUAACGGCUAGUUUUCAGCUGCAGCUAUAAAUAAGCUCAUUCAAAUUCAAACAAAGCUUGAUCACAACACGACCAUUGAGCUAAUAUUCGAGAAUACAAUCUUCAUAGAGCUUAGAACACAUUCUUGCUUCAUCUAUUCACAAAUUAAGCAUCAUUGUGUAAUCCUAUAUAUUGUGAGAGGCAAAUCAAUUUGUAAUCUUUUACUUUGAGUGAUUGUAAGUGUUGGGAUACACUUGGGUUAAGAGAUUGGGGAUAAUCUCUUGUUGUAAAGGUUUAUUGACACCUUGGAAGUCAAGUGUAAGCAUUUGAAGCCUUGGAGGCUUGCUUAGUGAAAUCUUCAAGCCCAGUGAGCUUGGAGGAGUGGACGUAGGCGGGGAUUGCCGAACCACGUAAAAAUUAUUGUGUUUGCUCUCUCUUCCCUUACUCCUUUACUAUUGUGCUUUAUUGAAUUUAUUGUUUUUGAUUCCAUUAAGGCAUUAGAUUAAAUUGUUGUGUGAUUUGCUUAGCUUAAUUUUAAAAUCCCAAUUCACCCCCCCUCUUGGGUUGCACACUUGUAUUUCAUUUGGUAUCAGAGCCUUGUUCUCUUAUUAAGACUUAAUUGUCUAGAGUAAAAGAUCCAUGGCAACCCUAAAUGACUCAACCUUUAGAGAAGGGCAAUCUACAACUAGACCACCAUUCUUUGAUGGAAAUGACUAUGCUUAUUGGAAAACUAGAAUGAGAAUCUACUUGCAAGCCUUAGAUUAUGAAAUUUGGAAAGUUGUUUGUGACGGUUCAUUCAUGCCUAUGUUUAAAGAUGAAGUAGGAGAUGAUAUUCCUAAACCAUCAAGUCAAUGGAGUGAGUUAGAAAAGAGAAAAAUGUCUCUAAACUCCAAGGCUAUGAAUGCUUUGUUUUGUGCCCUUGAUAAGAAAGAAUUCCAUAGAGUAUCUAGUUAUGAAAGUGCAUAAGAGAUAUGGAACAAACUUGAAGUUGUCUAUGAAGGGACAAAUCAAGUAAAAGAGUCUAAAAUCAGUAGAUACACUCGUCAAUAUGAGUUGUUCCAAAUGGAACAAAAUGAAAAUGUGUAUUCUAUGUAUACUAGAUUCACGGACAUAGUGAACACCCUAGGUGCCUUAGGGAAAAUCUUCUCAAAUAGUGAGAAAGUUAAGAAAAUCAUUAGGUCACUUCCAAAAGAAUGGAGACCUAAAAGAACCGCCAUUGAAGAGGCCAAAGAUUUAAAUACUUUACCUCUUGAUGAUUUAAUUGGUUCUCUCAUUUCAUAUGAAGAGGAUUUAGCUGCAGAAAAAGGACAUGAUGAGAAGAAGAAAAGCAUUGCUCUCAAAGCUUCAAAAUAUGAGAGUGAUGGGGAGAGUGAACCAGAUGAUGAAGAGCUAGCCAUGCUAGCAAGGAGGUUCAGAAAAUUCUUCAAGAAAACCGGAGAGCGAAGAAAUUUCAGAAACUUCAAGAACCUUAGGGAGAAGAAGGAGGCAAUCACAUGCUAUGAAUGCAAGAAGCCUGGACAUAUAAGAUCAGAGUGCCCACUAAUCAACAAACUCAAGAAGAAAGCAAUGGUUGCAACUUGGGAUGAUAGUGAGGAAGAAUCAAGUGAUGAAGAAGGAUCGCAAGAAGUAUCAAACCUAGCACUCAUGGCAAUAUGAGGGAAUUAUGAUCUCAAUGAGGUAAGUGAUCCCACCUAUGAUGAAUUGUAUGAUGCUUUUAAAGAUUUACAUAAUGAGUUGAUGAAGAUUGGUAAAAAGAAUGUAUGUCUUAAAAAGGAAAUGGCAAAGCUUAAAAAUGAAAAUGAAUCUCUAAAUGCAAGAAUUGUUUGCCUAGAAGUAGGAAACAAAACAUUGCAUGAUGAAAUUGCAUUAUCAAAUGAAAAACCUAGCAUCUUACAUGAGCAUUUAGAAUCGCACAUAGAUGAGUUGAAAAAUGAGAACGAAAUGCUCAAGAAAAAGAGUAAUGAAUUGAAUGAAAUUGUUUUAAAAUUUACAAAUGGGCAAAAGAUGUUGGAUAAUAUGCUUAACUCACAAAAAUGUGUUUUUGAUAAAGGAGGACUUGGAUAUAAGCCUAACUUGAAGCAAAAGUAUUAUAAGAAUUAUUUUGUUAAAUCUACCUCCACAAAUGAUCAUAAGAUUGUAUGUCAUUAUUGUAAUCAAAAUGGUCACAUGAAAUAUAGAUGUCCCGUGAAAAGGAAUGCAUAUUAUGGUGUCAAAUGCAUUUGGGUUCCAAAAGGAACCGUUGCUAACUCUCAAGGACCCAAAAAGUUUUGGGUACCUAAAACUUGAGAUUUUUUCUUGUAGGGCUUGAAGAAGAAGAAAAAUAAAUGGUACUUGGACAGCGGUUGUUCAAGGCACAUGACCGGAAACUAUGCAUGGUUCUCAAGCUUCACCAAAAUUGAAAAUGGUGGAGACGUAUCUUUUGGAGACAACUCAAAAGGAAAAAUUCUUGGAAUUGGAAAUGUUGGUAAAGUCUCUUCAACUCUAAUUGAGAAUGUAUGUUUGGUUGAGAACUUGAAACACAACUUAAUUAGCAUUAGUCAAUUAUGUGACAAAUGUUAUAAAGUUAUCUUUGAUAAAUUUAGUUGUGUUAUUGAGAACUCAUGUGAUGGCAAAACCUUAUUUGUUGGGAAUAGAUGUGGUAAUGUUUAUAUCAUUGACAUAAAAUGUGCAUCUACUCUUGAUAAAUGUUUUUCGGCAUUGCAUGAUGAUUGUUGGUUAUGGCACAGAAGGUUAGGACAUGCAAGUAUGGAUUUGAUUUCAAAAAUUUUGAAAGAUGAUUUAGUUAAAGGUCUUCCGAAAAUUGGUUUUCAAAAGGAUAAGAUUUGUGAAGCUUGUCAAUUUGGAAAACAAAUUAAAACUUCUUUCAAGAAUAAAAACCAUAUUUCUACUUCAAAACCACUUGAACUUCUUCACAUAGAUCUUUUUGGGCCAUCUAGAUAUGCGAGUCUAAAUGGCAAAUAUUAUGCAUUUGUGAUAGUGGAUGAUUAUUCUAGAUAUACAUGGGUAUUAUUCUUAGCCAAUAAGGAUGAUGCUCUUGAUGCUUUUAAAGUGCUUUGUAAGAAAUUACAAAAUGAAAAAGUGCAUGGUAUUGUAUGCAUUAGGAGUGAUCAUGGAGGAGAAUUUGAAAAUCAUGCAUUUGAGAUUUUUUGCAAUAAUCUAGGCAUUGAGCAUCAAUUUUCAUCACCUAGAACUCCACAACAAAAUGGAGUUGUUGAGAGAAAGAAUAGGUCUAUUCAAGAAAUGGCUAGGACCAUGCUAAAUGAAAAUGCAUUACCAAAAUAUUUUUGGGCCGAAGCCGUCAACACCGCUUGUUAUGUUUUAAAUCGGGUGUUGAUUAGACCUAAUUUUAAUAAAACUCCCUAUGAGCUUUGGAAAGAUAGAAAACCCAACAUUGGAUAUUUCAAAGUUUUUGGAUGCAAAUGUUUUAUUUUAAACACAAAAGAUAAUCUUGGUAAAUUUGAUCCAAAAUCUGAUGUUGGCAUCUUUCUUGGGUAUUCAAACUCAAGUAAAGCUUAUAGAGUUUAUAAUAAAAGAACUUUAGUUGUGGAGGAGUCCAUGCAUGUUACGUUUGAUGAAUCUAACCCCUCCUCUGCGGAGAAAGGAGUUGCUAAUGAUGAUGCAGAUGGAGAGUUACAAGAAGAAUCAUCAAAAGAGAAUCAAGAGAAUGCACCACAAGAAAAUCAAGAGGAUAGACAAGAAGAACAAACAAAUAUGGAGCUGGAACAACAAGAUGGUAUUUCUCAAACACUCCCCAAGGAGUGGAGGUAUGUCUCUUCUCACCCUAAAGAUGUAAUUUUAGGAGAUCCCUCACGAGGUGUUACAACUAGAUCAUCACUUAAGAAUACUUGUGAGCAUAAUGCAUUCAUUUCUCAAAUUGAACCCAAAUCCUUUGAGGAUGCGGAAAAUGAUGAAUCUUGGAUUAUGGCAAUGCAAGAGGAAUUAAAUCAAUUUGAAAGAAACAAUGUGUGGGAAUUAGUUCCUAAACCGGAACAUCAAUCCGUCAUAGGUACUAAAUGGAUUUUUAGAAAUAAGAUGGAUGAAUCCGGUGUGGUUGUAAGGAAUAAAGCUAGAUUAGUGGCUCAAGGUUACAACCAAGAAGAAAGAAUUGAUUUUGAUGAAACUUUUGCACCCGUUGCUAGACUAGAAUCAAUUAGAAUGUUGUUGGCAUUUGCAUGUCAUAAAGAUUUCAUCUUAUUUCAAAUGGAUAUGAAAAGUGCUUUCCUAAAUGGGUAUAUUAUGGAAGAAGUGUAUGUAAAACAACUCCCUGGUUUUGAAAAUGAAAAGUUUCCAAAUCACGUUUAUAAGUUGCUUAAAACCUUGUAUGGAUUAAAACAAGCACCUAGAGCAUGGUAUGAUAGACUUAAGAAUUUCCUGUUGGUAAAUGAUUUUUCAAUGGGUAAAGCGGAUACUACUCUAUUUGUUAAGCAUAAGAACCAAGAUAUACUUAUUGUUCAAAUUUAUGUUGAUGAUAUUAUUUUUUGUUCUACUAAUGAAUUGUUGUGUAAAGAUUUUUCAUCGUGUAUGAGCAAAGAAUUUGAGAUGAGUAUGAUGGGUGAGUUGAAGUACUUUCUUGGACUUCAAAUCAAACAAAACGAGGAAGGAAUUUUCAUAAAUCAAGCCAAGUACGUAAAAGAUCUACUCAAACGAUUAAGCAUUGAUAACUCAAAGACCAAAAAUACACCAAUGAGCACAACAACCAAGCUGGACAAAAAUGAAAAAGGCAAAGAAGUGGAUAUCAAAAUGUAUCGAGGUAUGAUCGGAUCCCUACUUUAUUUGACUGCAAGUAGACCCGAUAUCAUGUUUAGUGUAUGUUUGUGUGCAAGAUUUCAGUCUUGUCCCAAGGAAUCUCAUUUGCUUGCUAUUAAAAGAAUUUUCCGUUAUUUGAGUGGAACCAUAGAUAUUUGCCUUUGGUAUCCUAGGGGAACUCAUAUAGAUUUAACAUGUUAUUCGGAUGCGGACUUUGCCGGUUAUAAAGUGGAUAGGAAGAGCACUAGUGGUACUUGCUAUAUUCUAGGACACUCUUUUGUUUCAUGGUUUAGCAAGAAACAAAAUUCUGUCGCACUUUCAACUACCGAGGCUGAAUAUAUAGCUGCCGGAAGUUGUUGUGCACAAGCACUUUGGAUGAAACAAACACUUAGAGAUUAUGGCAUUAAUCUUGAACAAAUUCCUAUUAAGUGUGAUAAUACUAGUGCUAUUAAUCUUUCAAAGAAUCCCAUUCAACACUCUCGAACCAAGCAUAUAGAAAUAAGACAUCAUUUCUUGAGAGAUCAUGUUCAAAAGAGAGACAUUGCAUUAGAGUUUAUUUCUACGGAAAAACAACUUGCCGAUAUUUUUACAAAACCACUUUGCGAAGAACAAUUUUCCAAAAUUCGGCAUGAACUUGGGAUGAUGAAAUUUUCACAUUAACAGCUUUAUUCAUGCUAUUGAGUCUAUUAACAUUGAUUGAUCUAUGCCUUGAUGCUUUAAUAUCUAUGGAAUGCUCAAUCGCAAUAUACAUGUGAUGUGUAUGGACAUUUGAAAAUGUAUGAAUUAAUUGUUGCAAUACAUAUUUAUAUUCAUGAAUUAUGCAUUGAACUGGCACUCAAAUCAUUUUGGAUCAAUAAAAUGAUCUUGAAAUGUAUUAAUAAGUAGCCAAAUAUCAAAAUAAAUGUGCGAAAUCAUAAGUUGUAGAAAACGGAUUGCCGUUAUUUCAAUAAACGGCUAACCGUUUUGGGCAGAAAUAAUGGAAAGUUUUCUGGGCGCUAUCGGUUCGCCGAUAACUAUCUAUCGACUCGCCGUCCUGAUACAAAAUUUUGAGGAGACUCCCUGGACCCUAUCGGCUCGCCGUUUUGAUGAAAUUUUUUUGGAGGACACUCUGGACUUUGUCGGCUCACCGUUUUCUCUAUAACGGCUCGCCGUUAUCACGCGUUAAUUGAACAGUCUUUCGUCUUCCUCCUCAUUUCGGUUUCUCUUUCUCUCUCUCUCUCACUUCAACCCGCGACUGCACCAGUUCUCUCCUCUCAAAUCCAUCACUUUUCUUGUCAUUUUUCACCAAAUUGCAGCAUUACAAACCAUUUCUAUCAUCUCUAGCACCUUUUAACAGAUUCAAAUCCUUCUUUUUCUUCAAAUUUUGAAAAAUCUCAUCUUGAAACCCUAGAACCAGCCGAAUCUCAUUUGUUCAUUUUGACCCAAAUUUCUUCAUUUUUCCAACUACAUUUCCACCUACAAUCACUAUCUCACACUUCGUUUCCACAUAUUUUUUUUAUCUCAUCUAUGGCGGAACGACCCCAAAGGCGUGCUCAAACCAAGCACACUGCUCCGCGACGUUCUAGUCCCCCCAGGUCUCCUCCUCAAGACUUCGAGAGUCUUCAUUUUUCUGAUGCCACCUCUGCUCAGCGAUUUCGUGAGAAAUUCAUGGGUAAACCCAUAAGUCAUUCCUCGCGCCUAUUUCUUUUUUAUGAUGAAGGGGGAGAUAAUUGGCAUUAGCAUUAUUUUUUUUCUUUUCUUUCUUCUAAUCAAUCUGUUUUAAACUUGUUUGAGAUUAAAAUUAAAUGAACUCUUUUUUAAGGGAAGUUAACAAGUCUUUCAAAAUCUCACAUAGGGGGAGCACAUAUUUAGGGGGAGCAAAAGUGCACAAGUAUUUUCUUGAAAAGUUUGUCAUCAUAAAAAAGGGAGAGAUUGUUAACAUAAAUUAUUCUUUAUUGAUUUUGAUGAUAACAAACAUGAUUAAGAUUAAUUAAUCUUUUAAAAGCUCAUCAUAAUUUUCAUCUAUUUUGACAAGUUUCAUAAAGUUUUUUUAUAAAGAUUUGGAGACAAAACAGUCAUCUUGCAAAAUAGUUCACUGCAGCAGUUUUUAUGGUAAACGGCGAUCCGACAUGUGUAAUAAACGGCUCGCCGAUUUCAAGCAGAAAUGGAGAUUAGCCUCUGGACGUAAACGGCGAUCCGACAUGUGUAAUAAACGGCUCGCCGAUUUCAAGCAGAAAUGGAGAUUAGCCUCUGGACGUAAACGACGAUCCGACAUGUGUAAUAAACGGCUCACCGAUUUCAAGCAGAAAUGGAGAUUAGUCUCUGGAUGUAAACAGCGAACCGACAUGUGUGAUAAACGGCUCGCCGAUAUCAACCAGUAGCCUCUGGACCUAAACGGCGAUCCGACAUAUAGGUAACGGCGAUCCGACAAUUUGAAAAAUCAGCCCAACGGUCAUAUUGACCAGUCAAACGGCGAUCCGACAUCUAGCUAACGGCGAUCCGACAGUGUGCAGAAAGUCAAUAACGGCUAGUUUUCAGCUGCAGCUAUAAAUAAGCUCAUUCAAAUUCAAACAAAGCUUGAUCACAACACGACCAUUGAGCUAAUAUUCGAGAAUACAAUCUUCAUAGAGCUUAGAACACAUUCUUGCUUCAUCUAUUCACAAAUUAAGCAUCAUUGUGUAAUCCUAUAUAUUGUGAGAGGCAAAUCAAUUUGUAAUCUUUUACUUUGAGUGAUUGUAAGUGUUGGGAUACACUUGGGUUAAGAGAUUGGGGAUAAUCUCUUGUUGUAAAGGUUUAUUGACACCUUGGAAGUCAAGUGUAAGCAUUUGAAGCCUUGGAGGCUUGCUUAGUGAAAUCCUCAAGCCCGGUGAGCUUGGAGGCGUGGACGUAGGCGGGGAUUGCCGAACCACGUAAAAAUUAUUGUGUUUGCUCUCUCUUCCCUUACUCCUUUACUAAUGUGCUUUAUUGAAUUUAUUGUUUUUGAUUCCAUUAAGGCAUUAGAUUAAAUUGUUGUGUGAUUUGCUUAGCUUAAUUUUAAAAUCCCAAUUCACCCCCCCUAUUGGGUUGCACACUUGUAUUUCAAUUGUAACAUUACAAAUUUUGCAAUUCAGCAUCCAAAAUAUCACUAGAACUUGCAAUACAAGCUUUAAUCUCUUCAACAACACGUAGAAUUGCGGCCAGGAACACAAACGAAAAUAUAGUUAAUUAUGCAUGCAUUAAAAAGAUGAGGAAGAGAAGAUUAAGGAACAACAUGAGGCCACCAAGAGAGUGAUGAAAAAUGUGGAUUUAAGUUUAAGUUCCACAAUGUUUACGUAAGCAAAAGUACAAAACUGAGAGUCUGAGGAUAAUGAUAUUAUUAAAUUUAAUAUGGGUUUGGUUCGUUUAGAUUCAUGAGUUUCUCUAGACAGUAUAUAUGGGGGGGCCAAAACUACUUUGCAUCGUAGGUUUUGUACACCACUCAUUUGUCAUUUACCAAAGUCACCAUUGGAUUUUAUGUGAUGGCUAGAAAAGAAACACAUAGAGAAAUAGGAGUAACUAGAGAAACAAAUAAUGAGCCAGUCACCUAGAUUGGUAAUUGAGCAUAGGGAAAUUAAAAAAAUUAACCUAAAUAUUUUUGAAUUAUUGGCUACUUCCAGAAAAAAUCUAAACCAGCAGUUUUUGAUCAAGCAAAUAAAUUAAUGGCAACAACAACGGCUAAUCGAUGCAGCGACGACAAUAGCUACUUCCGGCAAGAGUGGCCUCUUUAAUUUGAGUUAGUUCGCUGAGUUUAUGUCCAAAUUCUUAAAUGGAUAAUGGAUUUAUUGUUUUAGUACUAAUUGUUGAUGAUUAUAGGUUAGAUCUUGUUGAGCGAUUAGUUUUGUAACAUUAAGCUUGAAUUGGGAAUGAAAAUUGAUAAAAUGCUUAUGGAAAUAAGUUUGUUAAAUAUGGCAAUACAAAUGUUUGCUAAAUGCAUCAAAGAAUACAAUUUGUUGUUUAGGCUUAAUUUUGCUAUUAUUUUACUUGAAUGAAUAUUUAAGAAGGUUGCAACUAGUAUUGUCACUUGAAUAUAGGCAAUGGUAUGGUGUUAUAGGUGAUUAUGAGCAAAAGGUGUUUGUCACGAUAACCUUACAAGUGAAAACCUUCUUUUUCUCAAACAAAACCCAGAUUAAGAAGAUUCAAUACUUCAUCAUAACUAUCAGAAAACAAUAUCAAGACAAUAAUGCCAAGAACCAUUGUCUGUAAACUUUAUCCAUUGGAAAAAUCGUAAAUUAUGCUUACACGUACAAAUUUUUUUUUUUCGAUUUACAGGUGCUACGCCUUCAGCCGGUUACUCGUUUUCCAAAUGUUAAAUCUCAGUUGUUAGAUACAUUUCUUCACAAUCUAACGGCUCAUUCGCUAUAAGACAAAGGACUAGGGUACCAAACUCAUGACGCAAGAUAGCUGGAUCCUAUAUGGAGGAAAUUUAAUCCAUUUGACAACUAAAAAAUUCAGAAAUCAGACCUCGAUUUGACAACUUAGAAAUUAAACAAUUAAAUUUGUUCCAUAUGCAUGCAGAAAAUUAGAUGUAUGUAACUUGUCAUAUGCUAUAUAUAUUCUAUUAGGUGGAAGAUUUUCUACUUCAUUUGUAUGAAAUAUAUGGUAUCAAUCAAUAAAUUCUUAUUUUGUUAUAUAUACUAAUAGUAUCUUAUAGUAAACUAAGAAAUAUUAACGACCUUCUAGUGUGUUUUUGAGUUGUAAAAUAUUUUUUUAAAAAAAAUUGAGUUGUAAAGUCUAGUUAACUAUUUUGUGUUCCAUUACAGGUAUUAUGAAAGGUUUUUUAAGUUUUUAGAUGUUUUUUGACCCAUUUGUCAAUAAGUGAAACUAUUAGCACCACUUUAAACUCCUCAUAAAACCUUUCUUCUAAAAAUACACCAUUAAAAACAUAUGUAAAUCACAGUACUUUUAACAACACCUAUGUUAAUUCCACAAAUAACCUUAUAUAUUCUUUUUUCUUAAAAAAUCAUAUGAAAACAAAAAUCUUUUAUUACAAAACCUUUUCACCAAUUUAAUCUGAAGCCCUUGUUCGGUCCAUGAGAAUCAACUUUUCAAUUUAGAAUUGUUUGAGCUUCUUUUUCCAACUUUUUAUUCUUAUUCUUAUAUAUAAAUGAGAUUCUUAUAAUAUAUAAUUCAUUUUAUUACUUUAUUUUAUCAUUCCAUGGGAAAAGAUAUCAAAAUAUUACUAUGAAGUAAGUUAAACUAGUAGAAAGUAGAAUCUAAAAACUAGAUAAGAAAUAUUCUAGGCCAUCCUCUUGAGUGGAUCUAUUUUAAUUCCACGAACGUCCUUGUACACUUCUUUCUCACGAACUUUACUAUGAGAGAGAGAAAAAAGAAUUAAAUAAAUAUUUCUUUUAUACUAAAAAAGAUUGUUUGAAGCUAAUCCAAUAUUAUUUUAUACUCUGAAUGUGACAAUUCAUAUACUUUUAUAUGAACACGUAAAUCGAUAAAAUCAAGGGAACAAGUAGCCAUAAAAAAAAUAAGUCUUUCAUAAUUUGAAAAUAAUGAACUAAAAUUUCAGUCCAACAGAAACCGCUAAUUUAAGAAUAAAAAUAAAAAUAAAAAACAUUUUCACUAAAACAACAAAAUUAUCUUUUAUUUAAUAAAAAUAAAACCCAUGUGGGGUUAGAGGAAGAGAGAUGAAUUGUCAAACGUGAUUUGAUUAAAGUUAAAAAUAUAAAUUUAAGAUAUAAGAAUUCUUUUGGAGGUGCCAAUAGCUCCACUCUAUUCUCUUUUUGUAGUUCUGCAAGUUUUAAACACAUGGUUCUAUGAAGGUCUUAGAGGGUGCCGAUAGCUUUCAUUAAUGUGCAUAUAUGUUAAACAAUAUCGAAUUAUUAGAUGGACCUUACUACCUUACAGAUUCUGUGAGGUACACCUCUCUAAUAAGAAUGGAGCGUGGCUCACUUAAGACCACCUUUAUUUUACUUAUUUUGGAUGGACGUACCUUACAAAAUCUAGGUACCGUCUUCUUAUUUGAUCCAACGUAAUCAAACAAUCUAAUCUAAUUGACUUGCCGCUUUAUGUUAAUAUAUAAUUAUGUUUUCUUUCAAUUGUUCUAAUAGUUGAGAGUUUUAUCUGGAAGAUAGCUCGAAAAUCAGCACUAAUUCCUACUCAGAAGGGAGGGGAAAUAAAUUGUGAUAGAAAAUAAAUUAUUUGAGUGCUCUGUGAGUCGAAGACCCACUCUCAGAUAAACAACUAUCUUUGUAAAGCAGAGCAGAAUUCAGAAAUGUCAUUCUUCUCAUUGGGUCAUUUCUUCAAACGUCCUCUGUACAAACAGCUCACCCGCCAUCAUAAUCUAUUUCCAUUCAUAAAUCAAAAACCCAGAACCCAAUCAACAGCACCCUCUUCCGUUCUCAUAAAAGUUUCAGCCCGUUCUUCUUAUCUCUCAGUUCGCAUUUGCUGUCAAAAACAUGCGUUAGUGAGUUUCACUUUUUUUACUUGUCUGUGUUUUUAAGCAUUUUGAAUUAGUAAUUAUUUGGCAUUAAAAUUGAGGUGCCUUAACUUGUGUUGUCAGGAUAUGUUUUCUGAAGCUCUUCUAUGUUUCGGUGCAAGUUCUACAAGCGUGGAUGAACAUGAUAAUGAUGCUGAUGAGAAUUCUGAUGAGGUUGAAACUUUAUAUUUUAAUUUCUUCUUUUUUCUUUUCUUUGAUUAUUGAUUCAUGUCUUGUAAAGGAUCUUGAGAGCAACAAUAAACAAGAAAUGAAACUCAUAUCCCAUUUGCAAAUUGGCUUCUAUUUGUGUUAAAAAUGUGCUUCUAAUUUCCAAUGUAAUGUUACCAGUUGGCCUUAGAUUUUUGUUGACUUUGUUGGUUCACUUGCUAGAAAGGUAGCAAGAGGAAAAAAUUAAUAAUAAUACUAAAUAAGCACAAAAUUUUCAAUGUUUGUUAUGGAAUUGAAAAUUGUCUUCUUUCUGUGUUAAAAGAGUGCCUCGAAAACGCCAUUAUAAUGUUACUAGUUGGUCUUAGAUUUUGUUGAAUGUAGAGUGGCUUCUGAAUAAAACCUACAGUUGUUUUAAAUAUUACUUACAGAUUGCUUUUAUGCAGAUCUAUAUUGAUUCCAUAUUUCCUGAAUGCGAAGACGUGGAUGAGUGCAUAUUAAAUGCUGCUAAUUCCAUAGGCUUGAAAGAGACACCGCGCUAUGAAGUUAAAAUGGGCGAGCAAUGCAACUGGAUAAAGAAAACUCAGGUUUGUUUGCUCUCCUUUUUCUCUCUAUCACAACGGUAUACUUGGAAUUAUUGUUAUGUCAAUUUGAUUCUCUUUUCUUACAUGUUGCAGGAGUCAUUUCCUCCCGUUGAGGUGACAAAAUGACUAUGGAUUGUGCCCGAGUGGAGUACACCACCAGUAUGAUUAUCUCACUCCCUUGGGAGGUUUUGUUGCAGUAAUUUCUCAUAUUUUAUAGGGUACCCUCUUCUUCAUUGCUUCUGUAGAAGUCAUAUAAGCUAGUUGCUUCCGAAUCUUUAAAUUUAUUCAAUGAGGAACCUUCGUUUGGAAAAUUGAUUUUCAUCUGAUCCAAGAAGGUUGCUUUGAAGGAGAGAGCUUACGAAAUGCAGCAAGCAAAAUCAUAACUACAAAGCAGUAGACUAAUUGUUAGCUGACUCUAAG